rnacentral:rRNA from 1 species
UAUGCUUCUCCUAAAGACUAAGCCAUGCAUGCCUUCGAAUAAGAGGAAGCAAUUCUCUCUGAAUCUGCGAACGGCUCCGCAAACCAGUUGUAAACUAUAGCAAGCAAGCUUAGGGGGAUGGCCUUAACGGGCUGACCUCCUAGGCUACAUGGAUAACCGUGGUAAUUCUGAGGCUAAUACAUGACCGUAAACCUUGGGGCCCGGCUGCGGUUGGGUUCCUAAGGGGCGUGUGAUUGGGCCAGAGUUAUUGCCGGGAAAGGGUGCACGUCCAGACCGCUAUCAAAAGGGAUCGGGUCCUGCUUCUCCUUCGGGGGAGGCGGGGCCUGGCCUCGGCGGCUCUUGCUGUGUGCUUCUGACCUAUCAACUAGAUGGCAGCAUAAGGGACAUGCUUUGGUUACAACGGGUACAGAGGAUUAGGGUUCGAUCCUGGAGAGUGGGCCUGAGAGAUUGCUCAUACUUCUAAGGAAGGCAGCAGGCGCGCAACGUUCCCCUUGGGCAAUGCUCGAGGGCGUUAGGGGACAUAUGAAUGCCUGCCCAUUGGGUGGGCAAUUCAAAUGGGUCUGUUCUAAACAGGCUCUCGAGUAACAAUUAGAGGA